rnacentral:rRNA from 1 species
CGAUUCUGGCUCAGAUUGAACGCUGGCGGCAUGCCUUACACAUGCAAGUCGAACGGUAACAGGUCUUCGGAUGCUGACGAGUGGCGAACGGGUGAGUAAUACAUCGGAACGUGCCCGAGAGUGGGGGAUAACGAAGCGAAAGCUUUGCUAAUACCGCAUACGAUCUCAGGAUGAAAGCAGGGGACCGCAAGGCCUUGCGCUCACGGAGCGGCCGAUGGCAGAUUAGGUAGUUGGUGGGAUAAAAGCUUACCAAGCCGACGAUCUGUAGCUGGUCUGAGAGGACGACCAGCCACACUGGGACUGAGACACGGCCCAGACUCCUACGGGAGGCAGCAGUGGGGAAUCUUCCGCAAUGGGCGAAAGCCUGACGGAGCAACGCCGCGUGAGUGAAAGAAGGGUUUCGGCUCGUAAAGCUCUGUUGACGGGGACGAACGUGCGAGAUGCGAAUAGUUUCUUGCAAUGACGGUACCCGUCGAGGAAGCCACGGCUAACUACGUGCCAGCCGCAGC